GGAAGUCAGCAAAACGGAUCCGUACCUUCGGAAUAAGGAUUGGCUCUAAGGACUAAACCGGUCGGGCUGAUGCUUUGAAGCGUGUCCGGUGCGGUCGCUGGCUGUCUGUUGCCGGAGCGGAUCUUCCGCCCGGCGUAUGGCAUCCGUCGAUUGUCAGAACGGCUCUGUCGCGGUGGGCAUCAGCGAUUCGGUCGCGCUUCGCCGGUGCGCAGUCAUUCUGAAGACGCAGACGGUAACGAAGCCUGCAUGAGAUAUCGGCAACUGACAACACAUUUCGUCUGGCAUUUAAUAGCCGACAUAGAACUGGCACGUACGUGAGGAGUCAGACUGUAUAAUUAAAGCGAAACGUCGAGACAGUGCAUCGUGGCAGCUGUUUGUGACUGAUUGACGGCUGCAUAGGCAGGCAUACUGACAAACUAUC
rnacentral:ncRNA from 1 species